rnacentral:rRNA from 1 species
AACGAACGCUGGCGGCAUGCCUAACACAUGCAAGUCGAGCGGGGGAAGGUAGCUUGCUACCGGACCUAGCGGCGGACGGGUGAGUAAUGCUUAGGAAUCUGCCUAUUAGUGGGGGACAACAUCUCGAAAGGGAUGCUAAUACCGCAUACGUCCUACGGGAGAAAGCAGGGGAUAUUCGGACCUUGCGCUAAUAGACGAGCCGAAGUCGGAUUAGCUAGUUGGUGGGGUAAAGGCCUACCAAGGCGACGAUCUGUAGCGGGUCUGAGAGGAUGAUCCGCCACACUGGGACUGAGACACGGCCCAGACUCCUACGGGAGGCAGCAGUGGGGAAUAUUGGACAAUGGGGGGAACCCUGAUCCAGCCAUGCCGCGUGUGUGAAGAAGGCCUUAUGGUUGUAAAGCACUUUAAGCGAGGAGGAGGCUACUCUAGUUAAUACCUAGGGAUAGUGGACGUUACUCGCAGAAUAAGCACCGGCUAACUCUGUGCCAGCCGCCGCGGUAA